rnacentral:sRNA from 1 species
GCUGGGUGUGGCAGCGCACUCCUGUAAUCUCAGCUACUUGAGAGGCUGAGGCAGGAGAAUCACUUGAACCCAGGAGGCGGAAGUUGCAGUGAGCUGAGAUCACGCCAUUGCACUCCAGCCUGGGUGAUAGAGUGAGACUCUGACUCUA